rnacentral:rRNA from 1 species
ACACUCCUACGGGAGGCAGCAGUGGGGAAUAUUGCACAAUGGGCGCAAGCCUGAUGCAGCCAUGCCGCGUGUAUGAAGAAGGCCUUCGGGUUGUAAAGUACUUUCAGCGGGGAGGAAGGCGAUAAGGUUAAUAACCUUGUUGAUUGACGUUACCCGCAGAAGAAGCACCGGCUAACUCCGUGCCAGCAGCCGCGGUAAUACGGAGGGUGCAAGCGUUAAUCGGAAUUACUGGGCGUAAAGCGCACGCAGGCGGUCUGUCAAGUCGGAUGAGAAAUCCCCGGGCUCAACCUGGGAACUGCAUUCGAAGCUGGCAGGCUAGAGUCUUGUAGAGGGGGGUAGAAUUCCAGGUGUAGCGGUGAAAUGCGUAGAGAUCUGGAGGAAUACCGGUGGCGAAGGCGGCCCCCUGGACAAAGACUGACGCUCAGGUGCGAAAGCGUGGGGAGCAAACAGGAUUAGAAACCCUGGUAGUCCC